rnacentral:tRNA from 2 species
GUGAGAAUGCCUGAGCGGUUCAAGGGGCCGGUCUGCAAAACCGUUAUUAGCUCAGAUUGAGUUGAUUUCUGCGGACUUCGCCGAUUUUCAGUUCGUCGGUUCGAAUCCGACUUCUCACU